UUUCUCUCUUUUCACUCUCUCGUUCCUUGCUCUCUCUCUGCUUCCCUCAUUCAAACAUAAACCCAGAAUCUUCAUCACCACCACCACCACCGUAAACCCCUUAUCCCCGCCGUAAAAAACCGCCCCUAAACCCAGUUUUCCGAUGAAUGUUCAUCAGAACAUUCAACCCCCAAACCCAGUUCUUCAAUUCAAACCCAGAUGAAGAUGGAUCUUCAUCUUCAACCUCCGAUUACCCUCACCUCCAAGAACCCUAACCCUAUAAGUAAGAACCCUAACCCCAAAAAUAAGAACCCUAACCCUAACCCUUUGUAAAUAAGAACCCUAACCCUUCGAUUCUCCAAAAAAACAACAUCAAACACAUGCAAUCAACAAAAGUACCGAUUUAAUGGGGCUGAGCUCAAGAACUUAGGGUUCUGAUUGAUGAACCCUAGGUCUUUAUGGAUCUAAGUCGAGCUUUGAGUGAAGGUGAUGGUAUUCGCAGCGGCUAGCUCAGGGUUUCUUUUUAAGAUUCUUCCUCCCUUUCUUUAGGUUUAGGUCUUUGUUUAUAUAGUCUUUAGGAUUAGAUUAAUUAGGAAAGAUUCAAUCUGUUGUAGAGAUUUGAUUUUGUUUUUGUUAUAACUUUGAUUUGAUUUGUAUUUGAUUAGGAUUUGAUUUGUUGUAAUUGAUUGUAAAUUGAUUCACGAAUAAGAUUGGAUUUUUGUUUA